rnacentral:tRNA from 1 species
GGGAGUGUAGCUCAGUGGUAGAGUGCUUGCCUAGCAACAUGAAGCCUUGAGUUUGAGCCCCAGCGCCCCCU